CUAACUACGUGCCAGCAGCCGCGGUAAGACGUAGGACGCGAGCGUUAUCCGGAUUUACUGGGCGUAAAGCGUGUGUAGGCGGCGUGACAAGUUGGGCGUGAAAGCCCCGUGCUCAACGCGGGGAGGCCGCACAAUACUGUCAGGCUAGAGGGCAUCAGAGGGGUGUGGAAUUCCCGGAGUAGCGGUAAAAUGCGCAGAUAUCGGGAGGAACACCGGUGGCGAAAGCGGCACCCUGGGGUGCACCUGACGCUGAGAGACGACAGCUAGGGGAGCGAACAGGAUUAGAGACCCUGGUAGUCCUAGCCGUAAACGAUGGAUGCUAGGUGUGGGAGUGAAGAACUUCUGUGCCGCAGCGAACGCGAUAAGCAUCCCGCCUGGGGAGUACGGCCGCAAGGUUAAAACUCAAACGAAUUGACGGGGACCCGCACAAGCAGCGGAGCGUGUGGUUUAAUUCGAUGCUACACGAAGAACCUUACCUGGGAUUGACAUAUGGGUGGUAGUGAGCCGAAAGGCAAGCGACCCUUCGGGGAGCCUAUACAGGUGCUGCAUGGCUGUCGUCAGCUCGUGCCGUGAGGUGUCGGGUUAAGUCCCGUAACGAGCGCAACCCCUGUCCUUAGUUACAAGUGUCUAAGGGGACUGCCGGCGGGAAGCCGGAGGAAGGUGGGGAUGACGUCAAGUCAGCAUGGCCCUUAUAUCCAGGGCGACACACACGCUACAAUGGUCGGUACAGAGGGCAGCGAAGCCGCGAGGUGGAGCGAAACCCAGAAAGCCGGUCGUAGUUCGGAUUGCAGGCUGCAACUCGCCUGCAUGAAGUUGGAG
rnacentral:rRNA from 1 species